GUCAACUCACGUGUACCCGAGCAGCCACCGGCGCUAACACAAUGGACGCUGACGACUCUGAAGAGGGACUGGCAUACUUCAACUGGAAAUACAGUCACUAACUCGAGUUUCUCUAAAGAGGACAAUACUAAGGCUGCUUUCAGAGUCGGUGGAAACCAGGGAGCUUCUGGAGUCUGCAAUGUGAACUGGACCAACAUUGGGAGUGGAGUUGUGAGGAGAGGCUCCGCUGACAAAUCAGGGGUAGAAUAUGCAGUACACGCAUAGAGCUCCUGAUUUUUGGAAAAAUGUGUACAUUUCACACAGUGAAAAAAUUUACGUAUGUUCCCAAGCUAUAAGAGGGACCCUUUGAGGCAGCCCACCGAUAAAACAUUGUGGGCCAAAAGUUUGAAUAUGUACUAUUAUCUGUGAGUGUAUGGUAAUUAUCAGAAUUAAAUGAGUCCACUUGUUUCAUCCAGAAAAACUACUCUUAAAGACCCUGUAGAGUGAAUUCAGAGAUUUGUUUCUUAUAAAUGUUUGAAUUGCUGAAAACGUGCAAAAACAGAGAACUACUAUAUGUUGUACUUAAUUGUGAAGAGAGAGCAUUGAACAGUUUUUCACCACUUCAGUUUUCCUAAUUUCUUUGGGGGGGAGGGGGGGUUAGGGAGCUAAAACCGCACCCAGUGAGGCCACUAUGUUAGAAUAAAAGUACAUUGUUAUCCCAUAUUUACUCUUAUAGUAUUUUCAAAGCAUGCAUUUAGCAGUAUGUUGAUUGUAUCAUAAAAGUUGACGUCUGUGAAGAGGACUGGGCCCUCAUCAAAAAGAUAGCGGCUGGAACAUUUUGCGGUCAGAAGUCAAAGUUUGAAGCAAUCAACCCUGAGGAAGAACACAUCUCCACAAAGAGUCAUAUAUGUGAUUGUUUACGAUGCUGCUACGUGCUCCCCCAACUUUAUAGCAGCAACAGCUGUGUAACUAGGAACU